rnacentral:misc_RNA from 1 species
AACGCACGAGACCUGCGGACCUGCGGAGGGAUCAUUAAUGAGAAACUGCCCCUCGCGGGUAGAUCUCCCACCCUUUGUAAACUUACCUUUGUUGCUUUGGCAGGCCCGUCUCCGGACCGCCGGCUUCGGCUGGCCAGUGCCUGCCAGAGGAUUCUAAAACUCUGUCUGUCAGUGCUGUCUGAGUCUAUAUACAAUCGUUAAAACUUUCAACAACGGAUCUCUAGAUCGGAAGAGCACACG